ensembl:lncRNA
GGCUGUGCUUAGAGAGGUGAACCCAUUGAGUUCGGUUACAUUCACACCUCAGCCUCCAACCAUCCCUAACACACACACACACUCACCAGCAAACAUCCCAGCCAAACUCCCAUCCUGCCUAGAGGGUCCUGGCUACCUCAGGUGACGAGGACAACUCAACGUUAGGGGUGGCUCUGCCAGCCGCACACCUCAAGAUCCACGGGGUUGCUGGUGUGGAGGAGGCGCUGGCAUGGACAGCCUUUCGGCCCCAGAGCCUUUUCUGGUCAGGGCAGCCUGCUGCUGAGGAGACCUGGCUGCAUGCCAGGCUGUGUGCCACCCUGACCUGUGUCCAGGGCCACCACUGCAUGGUCACAGACUGUUGGAGUUGGAAAGGCCCCUCAUUUCACAGGCAGAGAUGCUGUGGCCCCGCAGUCGGAUGCAGCCAUGCAAGGGAUGGAGAUUUCAAAGGCAAACCUAUGAUUGUGUUGUCAUCACUCUGCUUUGGCCUUGGGUGCCCCGGCCCUCCUUCCAGGGAGGAGAACUGUGUGAAGAUUCGUCCUGAGCUAACAUCCGUGCCAGUCUUCCUCUAUUUUUUAGUAUGUGGGCCACCAGCACAGCAGGGCCGCUAACAGAGCGGAGUAGGUCCACGCCCAGGAACCGAACCCAGGUCGCUGAAGCAGAGUGCACUGAACUUAACCACUAGGCCACUGGGGCUAGCCCCAAAGCCGUCUUUAUUUAUUUAUUUUGUUUGUUUGUUUUUUUUGGAGGAAGAUUAGCCCUCAGCUAACUACUGCCAGUCCUCCUCUUUUUGCUGAGGAAGCCUGGCUCUGAGCUAACAUCCGUGCCCAUCUUCCUCUAGUUUAUACCACAGCAUGGCUGCCAAGCAGUGCCAUGUCCGCACCCGGAAUCCAACCAGCGAACCCCGGGCCACCGAGAAGCGGAAUGAUCUCUUCUUGCUGACUCUUCUAACCGUCUGCUUACCAGUGAGAUACCCUCUAAUCACAGACCACAGAUACGCCCCAGAGGACAAGCUGGGACCCUGGCUGAGACACACUUACAAGUGGCCAUGGUCAUUGCUUCAUUGCUGGAAGCCCCCAUCCCAUCCCACCUCACCCACCCCUCCCACAGGGGGCUGUCCCUGCCUGUCGGAUCACCAUGGUGUCCCAGUUCCCUGCACAGGGCCUGCCAGGGAACCAUCGCCGUUGGAGAAUAGCCCUUUGGACACCCCUCCGGCUCCUCCACUCCUCCCCACCUUUUGCCCAAGAUUCAGACUCAGCAGGUUUGGGUAGGGCCUGAGUCCCUAAAAGCGUCCAAGUGGGUCUGCAGCCCAGCUGGCCCCACCCACCUGCACGCUGAGGUGCUGGGGUUCCAAGGCUAUCCCCCGAGGUGUCUGCAUUCCAGAAGCAAGGAUGGAUGGCCAAGAGUGGAAUUUCAGGCAGUAAGUGCAGUGGUUAUGAACCUGCGCUCAAGAAGUUCAAAUUCCUGAUCUUGACCUUGGGCAAGUCCUUAACCUGCUUGAGCCUCAGUGUCAUCUGUGGAAUGGGGAAGUAAUAGCAUCCACCUUGCAGAGUUGCCGUGAUGAUUAAGUGAGUACCUGGCAGCUAAUGUAUGUAAGUGUGAACGGUUAUUAUAAUCUGUGCUAUUUCUAGGACAGAAAUCUGUUUAGAGGUGGAAAUGUCUUUUAGUCCCUCUGAAAUCAUCUCAAAGGUGCUUUCCUCGUCUCAUGAAAGGCCAGCUCAGCUGCCUGGCCGCAACGUGGACUUUCAGAGACUAGGUGGACCCUAUGUCUGAUCUGGAUUAGACCAUCAGGGCCUUUGAAAUGUUAAUGAGGGUUGUGUUUUGACACUGCCAGUUCAAAGGGAAGCAUUAGGAAGCAGUGUUUCCCCUGGGAAGCGGGCAGGAAAGCCCUGAGGUUGGGGGGAGGGUCAGCGGGGCAGGUGGCCGCUGGUCAUCAAACCUCUACUAGGAGAGUUGGAGAAACCUGUGACAUCACCAAGUCCAAGCCCCCCAUUGUACAGAUGGAGAAAUUGAGGGUGUCACCCUCUGGUGAGGAUGCACAUCCACUGAGAAUCGGUGCCCUAGGAGGUUCCGUGCAGCUGCGGGACAUGUGUAGGGGCAGUGAAGGUGGGAUGGUGAAGCCCUUUAUGCCGUAGAAGGCACCAUGGUGGGGCCCAGGGCUAGUCAGACAGAGCUGGGGGGCAGGGCCCAUGCCUGGGGUCAAGCCCUGACCCAUAACCUCUGCCUGGCCCUUCCUUAACGGGGCAGGCCAACCUAGGCUGACCCCGAGGGAAUAUGAUGAAGAGUGGCUGUGAGGGCCCCUGGAGGCCAGUUCUGCAGCAUCCACCCCUGUUCUGUGCCCUCUUUUGGAACGUAUUUGUGCUGCCCCAAUUUCUAAGAAUUCAGAAACUCCUUCAGGGACCAAACUCAUCCCAGGAAUAAAAACUCAAUUCAGUUCUCCACUAAAACCAUUUCUUCUUUUGAAACGCUUUAUACAGAUGUUGGAUUCCAGGAAAUUCAGGUUUGAAUCCCCAUUCCACUACUUAUUGUUAAAAACAACAUGGAACAAACCUUGACUCUUAGAGCCUCAGUUUCCCCAUCUGUAAAGUAGGGAGAGUCAUCUCUGCUUUGCAGUCUUGCUGAGAAGAUUAAAUUAACUUAAUUUAUUUUAUUAAAUUUAUUUUAUUUAUUAAAUUAAAUUAAUUCAGCCACUCAUUCAACACAUUUUUCCUGAGCACCUACUAUGUGCCAGACAUCGAUGACACAGCAAUGAAUACACGAGAGAGAGACAGCAGCAUGUGCUCAUGGGGCCUUCAGAGUGAUAUCAACCAAUAGUGACCCCAAUAUCUAUGCGACCAAC